CAGCAGCCGCGGGAAAACGGAGGGAGCUAGCGUUGUUCGGAAUUACUGGGCGUAAAGCGCGCGUAGGCGGUUACUCAAGUCAGAGGUGAAAGCCCGGGGCUCAACCCCGGAACUGCCUUUGAAACUAGGUGACUAGAAUCUUGGAGAGGUCAGUGGAAUUCCGAGUGUAGAGGUGAAAUUCGUAGAUAUUCGGAAGAACACCAGUGGCGAAGGCGACUGACUGGACAAGUAUUGACGCUGAGGUGCGAAAGCGUGGGGAGCAAACAGGAUUAGAUACCCCGGUAGUCCCUGUCUCUUAUAC
rnacentral:rRNA from 1 species